UCAUAAAUGACAUGAUACAAAUACAAAAGCAAUAAAAGAAGCAAAUAUGGAAGCAAAUGCUGGAUAAGCAAGUUUUAUUAGCAAAAUGAAAGCUUAUUAUCAUUUGAUUACAUCGGAAAAUGAAGAUAUUAAUUGUAAAAGCACGUUUAGGAUACAACACUUAUUUUUACUGCGGCGAUAUUAAGUAAGGCCACUUGUAAAAACAUGAAAGAAGUACGAAUUUGAGCAUUGAGCACCGAUACGAAGGGAAACACCUGAAAAGUGUAGAAUUAAAUCGACUGUUAAAAUCCUCCGUAAGCAUGGGACGUUACACCUUCACUCAAUAUUAUAUACAGCUGGCAAUUCGGGUAUUUGGCAUAUUAAAAGAAUCGCUAAGAAAUGUAACAGCUGUUCGAAUGUAACAAGGCAUGCAAUGUUUGUCCAUAAUUUACUUUAGUAUUACUAAAAAGCUUAUGUUACAUUAAAACAACAUUGACCACAUAUACGGAUAUCCCAUUAAGCUGUACAUGAAAUCACUCAAAAAACAUUGGAGACCUUGAAUCUUCUAAGAGCUAUGAGGGCGCUGAUAAAAUAUCGUGUGGUAUCCUUAAGUGACCUGUUAAUCCACUGCCCGAAGCAAUAUGUGCUAAAAACGUGAUGAUCGCGGAUAUCACAGGUAUAGCAGGCG